rnacentral:rRNA from 1 species
UACGUAGGGUGCGAGCGUUGUCCGGAAUUAUUGGGCGUAAAGAGCUUGUAGGCGGUCUGUCGCGUCUGCUGUGAAAAUCCGGGGCUCAACCCCGGACUUGCAGUGGGUACGGGCAGACUAGAGUGUGGUAGGGAGACUGGAAGUUCCUGGUGUAGCGGUGAAAUGCGCAGAUAUCAGGAGGAACACCGGUGGCGAAGGCGGGUCUCUGGGCCGAUACUGACGCUGAGGAGCGAAAGCGUGGGGAGCGAACAGG